rnacentral:lncRNA from 1 species
AUGGUCGAUCAGAUGCCUCCUUCUUCUUGAUUUAGACUCUUCUAAAGAUGAGAAGUAGGAGAAGGAGUUUUAGAUGAGACACUCUCAGAAAACUUACAGAUGUAGGAAGGGAAUGGAUGAACCCAGCAACUCUAGAAGAAGACCCUCUUCUUCUUCUCUUUGCUUUAACCCAGACACCUAGUUUUGUGUCUAUUAGAUCUCCACACCCUAAGACUCUUUCUCCUUGAUUUUUGGAUACCCCAA